rnacentral:rRNA from 2 species
ACAGUGAAACCGCGAAUGGCUCAUUAAAUCAGUUAUGGUUCCUUAGAUCGUGUCCAUACUUGGAUAACUGUGGUAAUUCUAGAGCUAAUACAUGCAACAAAGCUCGGACUAACGGAAGAGCGCAUUUAUUAGACCAAAGCCAUCCGGCCCCGUGCCGUUUGACUGGUGACUCUGGAUAACUACAAGCAGAUCGCAGGGCCAUGCGCCGGCGACAGAUCUUUCAAAUGUCUGCCCUAUCAACUAUCGAUGGUACGUGCUAUGCGUACCAUGGUUGUAACGGGUAACGGGGAAUCAGGGUUCGAUUCCGGAGAGGGAGCAUGAGAAACGGCUACCACAUCUAAGGAAGGCAGCAGGCGCGCAAAUUACCCACUCCCGGCACGGGGAGGUAGUGACGAAAAAUAACAAUACGGGACUCAUGUGAGGCCCCGUAAUUGGAAUGAGUACACUUUAAAUCCUUUAGCGAGGAUCAAUUGGAGGGCAAGUCUGGUGCCAGCAGCCGGGGUAAUUCCAGCUCCAAUAGCGUAUAUUAAAGUUGCUGC